rnacentral:misc_RNA from 1 species
GUGAAUCAUCAAAUCUUUGAACGCAAAUUGCACUCUCUUCGGAGAGUAUGCCUGUUUGAGGGUCAGUAUUAACAAAAAAUCGGUUUGGUUGCAAAUUGUGACGUUUCCGGAGUUUGGGCUAUCUUAACUUUUUUGGUUAAGGGGCUUAAAAUUGACCUUAUUUGCGCAUUUUUAGACGUACAUAAAUUUUUUUUUUUUUUUUGGUUUAUUCUUAAUGAAAAAAUUUUAUUGGAGGGGUUCA